rnacentral:tRNA from 1 species
GCCUGGCUAGCUCAGUCGGUAGAGCAUGAGACUCUUAAUGUCCGGGUCGCGGGUUCGAGCCCCACGUUGGGCA